rnacentral:rRNA from 1 species
AAUGCGGGAAACCGUGAUAAGGGAACUCCGAGUGCCCGUUAAAUCGGGCUGUCCAUCUGUGUAAAUAACAGGUGAAGAAAGGGCCGGGCAAGACCGGUGCCAGCCGCCGCGGUAAUACCGGCGGCUCGAGUGGUGGCCACUAUUACUGGGCUUAAAGCGUUCGUAGCUGGUUUGUUAAGUCUYUGGGGAAAUCUUCCGGCUUAACCGGAAGGCGUCUCAGGGAUACUGGCAGACUAGGGACCGGAAGAGGUGAGGGGUACUCCAGGGGUAGGAGUGAAAUCCUGUAAUCCUUGGGGGACCACCUGUGGCGAAGGCGCCUCACCAGAACGGCUCCGACAGUGAGGGACGAAAGCUGGGGGAGCAAACCGGAUUAGAUACCCGGGUAGUCCCAGCCGUAAACGAUGUGCGUUAGGUGUAUCGGUGACCACGAGUCACCGAGGUGCCGAAGAGAAAUCGUGAAACGUACCGCCUGGGAAGUACGGUCGCAAGGCUGAAACUUAAAGGAAUUGGCGGGGGAGCACA